rnacentral:rRNA from 1 species
AAUAUUGGACAAUGGGGGCAACCCUGAUCCAGCCAUGCCGCGUGUGUGAAGAAGGUCUUCGGAUUGUAAAGCACCUUAAGUUGGGAAGAAGGGCCUUAGUCUAAUACCCUGAAGUUUUGUCGUUAGCAAAAUAAUAAGCACCGGCUAACUCUGUGCCAGCGUCCGCGGUAAUACAGAGGGUGCAAGCGUUAAUCGGAAUUACUGGGCGUAAAGGGCGCGUAGGUGGUUCAGUAAGAUGGGUGUGAAAUCCCCGGGCUUAACCUGGGAACUGCUUUCAUAACUGCUGAGCUAGAGUACGGUAGAGGGUAGUGGAAUUUCCUGUGUAGCGGUGAAAUGCGUAGAUAUAGGAAGGAACACCAGUGGCGAAGGCGACUACCUGGACUGAUACUGACACUGAGGUGCGAAAGCGUGGGGAGCAAACA